CCCCGGAAAACAAAAUAGGUAGACGUUGGCGACUUAAAAUCGCCUGCCCGUAAGGGCGUCAGGGUUCGAGUCCCUGUCCCGGCACCA
rnacentral:tRNA from 1 species